GAUGAACGCUGGCGGCGUGCCUAAUACAUGCAAGUCGAGCGAACAGAUGAGGAGCUUGCUCCUCUGACGUUAGCGGCGGACGGGUGAGUAACACGUGGAUAACCUACCUAUAAGACUGGGAUAACUUCGGGACACCGGAGCUAAUACCGGAUAAUAUAUUGAACCGCAUGGUUCAAUAGUGAAAGACGGUUUUGCUGUCACUUAUAGAUGGAUCCGCGCCGCAUUAGCUAGUUGGUAAGGUAACGGCCUACCAAGGCAACGAUGCGUAGCCGACCUGAGAGGAUGAUCGGCCACACUGGAACUGAGACACGGUCCAGACUCCUACGGGAGGCAGCAGUGGGGAAUCUUCCGCAAUGGGCGAAAGCCUGACGGAGCAACGCCGCGUGAGUGAUGAAGGUCUUCGGGUCGUAAAGCUCUGUUAUUAGGAAAGAAAAAAUGUGUAAGUAACUAUGCACGUCUUGACGGUACCUAAUCAGAAAGCCACGGCUAACUACGUG
rnacentral:rRNA from 1 species